rnacentral:lncRNA from 1 species
GAUUUACAAACAGAGGAAAAUAUCCAAGAAUAUAUUGACAAGAAUGGGACUCCUCCCCCAAAGACAAAUAGACAUUUAUAAAAUAAAUAAAUCUUUAUAAACAUGAAACAACAUAUUACCUAAAUAACACAAACGACGCAUGCAUACAUGUAUGUACUGACACACAUACACAUCUACACAUACAUUCUACAUAAAACUCACUCACAUACACACAUACAAACAGGGUUUGCCAAAAUGAAUGAAAAGAACUGAUCAAGCUUUGAUAUUUCUAUUUUAUUUAUGCAUUGUGAUAGGUAUCAACAUGUGUGUGUUACUCUGUGUCUGUCAGGGACAGGUCCCAGGAAUAUCGCACAGUAGACAGGACAUUACGAGCACCUAGGAGGCUGAAUCAGAAUGACCCGAUCACUUUUACAUAUCUACUUUUGGACAGAGAGGAGGGUGGGAUAAAAGCGUGCACAUUAAAAAAAAAACCCAAAAAACAAACAAAACAAAACAAAACAAAAAACCAACAAGAAAACAAAAUAAAAACAACUUAAAAUAUACGUUAAGACCGACAACAUCAGCUAGGAUUAAAAAAAAACAAACAAAAAACAAACUACACCACUGGUCAGUUUGGAUAACGAGACGUAAGAUUAAAACAAAAAAGCAAACGAUCAAAACGGUAGUUUUUGUGAUGCAAAACAUCAUUAGAUUGUCACCUGAACGACUGUUUAACCCCCUGCCUCCCCUCCUCUCUACCCCCCUGUCCCAAUUCUCAUUAGUUAUGAAAGCCUGUCGUCGUCGUCGCUGUAGCUCAUCAUUAGUUAUCGAAGCCUAUGAUUUCCACGUGUUAUUGCCGGCAGGUGGUGAGAGGACGAGGGGUAUAAUGGGUCUGCGCACACCCACCUGGCAGUUGCACACUUGCCGACAGUGGAGUCAAAGCCUUGACGUUGCCUUUGCCAACCUUUGCCGUAGCGAACGUCAGGACGACGACCGCCGGCGACUUCAGCGCGAUGGACAUGCGACCGUCGUUGCUAGCGCGCUAUUCCUUCUCCACCGUCGCCUCCGCCAGCCCCGAGAAUAGCGCGCGGGACAUGAGGACGAGACGGACAGCGCGCUGAUCUCCCGGCGCCAGCCGAAGGGUUGCGUGCGCUCCAUCGCUCAACCCGCCGAAGCCCAGCACGCGCGGCCACGCAUGCGCAGUGACACGGGACGUGGGAGGGAGGCCCCGGCGCGCGCAUGAUGUGUGAAUUACGGUCGGCGCGGUGCGUCAUAAAUCAAAGCGGUUGCAAAUCGGCCUAACGAGGGCGGUGUCGCCAACGAGGUGCAGCGGGAGGGCCGUGCUGACGCUGACGUUAUAUAAUCCUCGUCAUCAGUCGGCCCCUGGCCCACCGGGCCGCCCUUUGUCACCUGCCCAUGGGCCCAGCAGCGCACGUGUGCUGGCUCGCGCGUGUUCGGGUUGUGCUCGCUGGGUGUGGAGAACAGGGCCGGCAGUCAACAGACCGAGGGAGGCAGAAUUGUGCGCAUGCUCAACAUAACGGAACUUUGGAUGUUUCACGACUUUCUUUUUAACCCGGCGACAAGUUAGUCCUGGGGUUGAAAGUCAAUAUUUGGAAUGUAGCUGAACACUCCGGUCGAACACCCUCAAUGAAACCAUGUUUGGUCAUUCAACAUCAUCUUCAUGGAACUGUCUGAUGUGAGGGGCCAUCAGCGGACAAUCCCGACUUUCAAACAUGCCCGUGAAACACUUUUUCGAGAAACAUCUGGAGUCUGGGGUUACAUGUUUCAGCCAGAGACAAAACAUUUAGCUUCAGUGAGCUCACUGUCUUCAGAGGCUGAGGACAAAUGUCACUGGUCGUCACACAGACACACAGAGCAGCGAUGGUCGGAGUUUGUUCAGAAGAUCACCCAGGUCCUCAAGUCUACGAGUCUUCUGGCAAAAUUACAAGUGCAGCUGUGGCGUCCAACGUCCCGCCUAGGGCAUCCUGGGAAGAUCAUUGUCCCUUCGCUCCCGACAACCCCUGCGCGUGGAGUCACGUGGCCAUGCUGGGAUGCACGUGCUGAGCGUGGGGGGCGAACGCUGGGCACAUGGUGACUGCCGGGGCUGAUUAAGCGGGAAACACUGGACAGAUGGGACAGCAGCCAUUUCCUACCCCGCAGUGCAAUUUGGACGACAGACCCAGGGUCGUUCAUCUUAAAGCCAGAACUCUUUAGCUUCGUGUAUUUACAAGUAAACAUGUAUUUACAAAUAAGCAUUAUUUACAAGUAAAUAUGUAUUUACAAGGUUUCGAGUCCAGUCAAAUUAACUUCACAUAUCCAUCUGCCAUGUCCUUCCUCUGCAAUGCGUUGACGACCGUGCGUCUGAAUAUCAAAACUGAUUUCUUUCCAAAAAAGGAUUGGAGCAAAUAUCUGAAACUGAGUUUCGUAGUAUUUUGUAAAAGUCUUUCAGAUUGUUCGGGAAAGAUGAACAUAAAGUAUGAAAAAAAAGUGACGCGUGGCGCAUUAAACAUCAAAGAAAAAUGUUAUUCAUUUUUAUUGUAAAAUUUUGCUUGGAGAGAAAAUUGUAAGAAGCAGAUGGCAAUGUUUUCUGAGCAAGAGACUCCAUGACUUUUUUUUUUAACUUCUGGUUCUGAGGUAACUAUUUUUAUGUUUGUUUGCAAUGUUUUAGUUUAAGUUGGUUUGGUUUUUACUUGUUGCAAGCAGAAGAGGGAGGGUGGGUUUGGUGUUUUGCGCCGAGCCAGCAACUACGACUACAUCACGGCCGAGCAACGAGUCCUGCAAACAGAUGGCACUUGCAGAGAAUUGCAAGCAGACAGCCCCGCAAACAGAUGGCGCUUGCAGAGAAUUGCAAGCAGGAAGCAAAAGAUCGAAUGAACGAGCAGCUUCAGAUUUUUUGUAUAAUGCAUCACUCCCCCUCCUUCCUCCCCAGAAAAAAAAACAACAACAAAAAAGCAGACAAACAAACCCGACUGUUUCACUUCUGCGUCUGAUGCUGCAGUUGAAUUACAAGCAGAGGCCGGCGGGAAAAGCAAAGGAUGGCUUCUGGGAAACCUUUGGAGUUUGUAAUCACCGAAGCCUCGGUCAUCUCGCCUCUCGCUGAACGAUAUACUAAUUCGCCAUCUUGCGCAUGCGCAGAGUAGCUCUUGGUGAUGAUUCAAAGCUGUUAACCUUUAGCGAACCAUUCCAGCAGUGGUGAGCUGACAUGGGGUUAAUAAAACAUUGGCAUUGCAGUUGGACAGAUCAAAGAAAGAUGAAUCCUUGUUUGGAGGUGCCCGGGUUGGAGUCGGGUGGAUGUGACCUUGGUGGUGAUCUGUUGGUACGUCAUGGAUGAAACUAAACUGGGCAAACUAUCAUUUAGUGUGUUAAGCUUACGAUUUUCAAAAUGUGUCCUUAUAGUGUAUGGUGGGUGUGGUGACGAGAGGUGGGGUGGUCGCUUUAUUACCGUUGGACCUAGUUCUUGCUUGUGUGGUUGUUUACUUGUUUGUGCCACGUCACUCGUCAUCCUCUAAAUUGAUGCGUCGAUCCCACCGUGAGUGUAACACCUUUCCGGAUCAACCCCGCCCUCCCCUUACCCAUCUCUCCCCAAAACAACUGAAUCAAAAGGCGAAAAUCAAAAGACAGAACAAAUUUAUUUUUCAUGAAGAGACAAGACUGUUCACUGACAUUAGUUCUGUUAUCCUGAGCGUUUUCACAAAUAUCGACCAGAGAUGACAUCAGAUGUGAUGUUGAGCUGAAGCUUGAUGGCCUCGACCUUUCUGUGUCGCGAUCAGAGCCUCUGUGGAAAGCUGGAUGUUAACGAGUCACAAAAUAUUUUCCUGACCUGGAGGUGAAGAAAAGAGAGAGAAAUGGAGGGCAGGUAUGUAGAUCACUAAGAAGGAUGUAAGUUCUGUGGUGGUAAGAAGGAAAUGUGCGAACGCAGAAAUAAUGAUAGUUCUGCUACAUGGGACAAACAUUCGGCGAACGUGCAUUUAUUUAUCUCCGAACUCUUCCACGGCUAUCAACCGCGAUGACGCAACUACCGAACGGCCGACGCCACGUCAACGCCGUCCGUCAACUGACAGAUGGCGCUAUGAUGGCAUUGUGAUGGUGUUCUUAUGACCUUUCUAAAGUGCAGCCGGAGUACACGUGGAAAAUGGGAGGGUCAUCAAACUACAAACACACAGUUCCACAUCCAAAGAGUGGCAGGGUGGUGGAUGGUGUGGGGGGAUAGAGGUGACAGGGAUUUGGGGGGAAGAGAGAGGGGGGAGGUAGAGUUUGUGGGUGAGAAACAGGCAAGACAUGAUGAGGAGAACAGCGGAGUUACUCUCACCGCCCUCUCCCACACCUUUCUAGCCCAGCGCCCCACAACGGUGUCGGUCCAAAGGCAUUUUUGGCCUGGUGGUCUGCAGACCCCGGCGACAGCGUAUGCCUGCACACACCUCAUCCCGGCCCGGCAUCUCCACGUGUGAAAGGCGUCCAUUGUAACGAGCACAGACCACGCUCGACAUUCUCCCGCCGACAAAAGUGAGGAAUCAAUGCUCCUAGCCUCGCGCCGUGACGUCUCCUACAUCGGGUACAUGAAUAUAAGGCUGCGCACUCCGCUGUUUGCUCUGCCAGCCACAGUGGGUAGGUAGCCUUGCAGUCACCGACACCGACACUCAGACGAAGUGCGAGUCUGUACUGUCUCGUCUACACAAGUGCAGUUCUUCCUCGCCUUUGCAUGGAAUUGUUGAGCUCAAUGAAAUCGCGACACUGAAUAUUCGCUUCUUCAGAACACGGGUACGUGGGUGGUUGGGUAGAUUUGGAUGCACGGCUCCGCUUCCUGGCUGACUGUUGGGUGCAGGGGAGCGGCUAUGCAUGUUUAAGGGAUUUUUAAAAUAGUCCAAGGAGGUAUUGCAAAAAGAAGGUAAGCUGAGGACAGAUCGAAGAAUUUCCAGAAAUUUGUUGUUUGCUAUAGUUACUUUAACUUUAUUUAAGUUUUGUUCGCUCCAAGAGACCGCAGGGUUCACAACAAUCGCAAGGAGAACAAGACAUUGGCGAUUACAAAUAGCAGCGGGAACUGUGAGCUACAAGAAGACAAGACGAGGGAAGUGGAAGAUGUAAAACAAAGAUGAUAUAAAGUCUUUGACACAACUCACAGCUGGACUCUCGCUGACCAGUCAAGUGCACACUGUCCUGCUUUUUCUUUCUUCAAGUGUACAGGCGAGGAUUCAUUGGCAACAGUGAUAUGAUCCACUCACGGCGAUGACAGGCGUACACACACACACUCAUCAACACACUGCCAAGUCAACGCCAAGAAUAUUUAUUUUGUGCUUUAUUAGCAAGUUGCGCCAAGACGAUACAACCAAAGCACCAGGAGAACAGUGAAGAGCUUUUCAGACGGAAUUGGUGACGACCAAUAUGUGUAAAUAUAACAUUUAUAAAAUAGCACUUAUUAUGUACAGGGAUCACUAAGAAACACAGAAGAAAUAUAUGAAAAGUGUGGGUGCUCACAAAAAACCGCGAUGCAAAGCAAUUUUAUUACAUUAAAAUAAUGAGUUCAUUAUAAUAAUUAACCAAGCAAAAUCAGAGAGCAGAAGUGCAUGGCACAUCACACGCUAUACAGAGAAAAAAAAAUAAUAUCACUAGAGAAAAAAACCUGAGCAUAUUUCUUUUCAUUGUGUUUGCAUGUGUGCGUGUGUGUGUGUGGGGGGGGGGGCUAUAGGUGGAAGGGAGCGGAGGGAGGUGCGUGUUUGCUUCCUAUGAUCACAGCUAACCUUCACUGCAGUUUGUUUUCUCAGUUCCAUUUCAUUGCAUCAUUAAUCGCAUGAGAAAAUCUCGUGAAGUUCCUCACAACAAAGUGUGGCAUACACGGGUUGACAGAAUCACGACUUUGAAUGCGCCAGCAUGAGCAAAUAUUUCAUUCCCCAAGGGACACUUUCCAUUCACAGACUUGCUUUAUAAGACUCUGGUAAGCAUUGAGCGUGGCUUCCUCGCCAGGCACACGAUUCCCACAUUGACGAGACUUUGCCUAGCCUACAAUAAUAGAAAGAAAACAGUAACGUGGACACCAGUUUAAUGUCCGGGACAUAUCUAAGAAAAUAAGGAUUUUACAGGAAUUUUACUGAGGCUGACAGCAAUGUCAAGAGUGUGCCAGGAGAAAAACCCAAAUCUGACUACAAAAAAGACUACAAGACAACUAAAUGUGUAGCGAAGGUCAAUUUUAAUGCACUGUACACCUAUCUUUAUCCCCGAUUAACACAGCGACAGCGCCACAUACAAAUGCCAGCUAAGAAAGCAAAACACACUACGUCAAUAAACAAUAAGA